ensembl:ncRNA C26C6.12 ncRNA
AGAGACAUAGAGAUAUAGACGAGACGAACGCGACAAUUAGUGCUGGUGGCCCCUGAUGCGAGACGAUGAGAAGGAUCACAGAUGUUUCAGUC